rnacentral:tRNA from 1 species
GGAGAUGUGGCCGAGUGGUUUAAGGCGCACGCCUGGAAAGCGUGUUUCCCCGUGAGGGGAUCAAGGGUUCGAAUCCCCUCAUCUCCGCCA